rnacentral:rRNA from 1 species
UACGAAGGGGGCGAGCGUUGUUCGGAAUUACUGGGCGUAAAGGGCGCGUAGGCGGUCCUUCAAGUCAGGCGUGAAAGCCCCGGGCUCAACCUGGGAACCGCGCUUGAGACUGGCGGACUCGAGUUCGGGAGAGGAUGGUGGAAUUCCCAGUGUAGAGGUGAAAUUCGUAGAUAUUGGGAAGAACACCGAUGGCGAAGGCAGCCAUCUGGACCGACACUGACGCUGAGACGCGAAAGCGUGGGGAGCGAACAGG